AGCCGAUGAUUUUGACUUAUUUCUGACACCUCGUAUGAGUGCUGCUAAUGCAGUACUUGAUUACACUUUUAUUCUGAGGCUU